GCUCUAGCGACAUAUUUUGCUCGCAGGUGGAGCACGCGCAGUGCGCACGUGCGUCGUCUGUGAAGAUUGCAGGGCAAAGCUUGAGCAAUGACUCGGUUUGCUCGGUACUCAACGAAAGGCAUCAAGAAGCCUCCAUUAGAUGCUACGCCAUGGUCAGAAAUGGCACCUCCAUCAGCUGAGAAACACUCGGCUGCAGCUGCUGGUGCCUUCAAAUGCCUCUGUUGUCAAAAAACCUGUGGCAACUCUGAAAGGUAGUGGCAAGAAAGCCAAGGGAAAGUUGUCAGCUCAGCUAGAUCACUUCAGGACAGCAUCCACUGGCAAGAAAAAGGGAAAAAAUAGAUGCAAAGCGUCUGAGUCUGCCACAAGAAUUCUCGGAUGAUGUUGACUAUUCCAGCAAAUCUGAUGCAGAUGACUCAAUGGAAGCUGAGUCACCAAA